rnacentral:tRNA from 1 species
UGCGGAAGUAGUUCAGUGGUAGAAUACAACCUUGCCAAGGUUGGGGUCGCGGGUUCGAAUCCCGUCUUCCGCNN